rnacentral:rRNA from 1 species
UACGGGGGGGGCAAGCGUUGUUCGGAAUUACUGGGCGUAAAGGGCUCGUAGGCGGCCAACUAAGUCAUACGUGAAAUCCCUCGGCUUAACCGGGGAACUGCGUCUGAUACUGGAUGGCUUGAGUUCGGGAGAGGGAUGCGGAAUUCCAGGUGUAGCGGUGAAAUGCGCAGAUAUCAGGAGGAACACCGGUGGCGAAGGCGCCACUCUGGGCCGAAACUGACGCUGAGGAGCGAAAGCGUGGGUAGCAAACAGG